UUCAUAUUUGAUGAGCAUAAACCCAAAAAUUGAAAGUUACUUUAAUAAGAUAUUUCUACAAGUUCAGUUCCCAUUUAAGGAAUUGACUCCACCACAUUGCCGAUUUGUUUAUUAAAAGAAAAGAAGCCUAGUAAUUUAAAAGGUCUACUACACAAACCAUAUUUUUGGUAAUGAAGAAAUAACGAGGCUCUGCCCUCUAAACAACUCAGAAAACAUAGGCAGAUAUAAAACUAGAGAAUGCAGUCACAUCGACCCAAUCUGGAAAAAUGGCUUUCAAUUUAGCAGCAGACUCUGUCAGAUACUGGUCCACUACAGCCACAUCAAUCUUAAUGGACUCGGAACUGUUUGCCUCCAACCAAAAGGUCCAGUUUUUAUCGCCUGCACCACUUAAUCUACAUAUAUAUGAUGGCGGACCAUUACCAGUCUUCUCAGGAACUGGAAGAACGUUAUCUGCAAAUGACCAGCUGGAUAGCGAACCAGUAAUAUUAAGGACUGCAACCCACACUUCCUUCAAGGAACCGAGGGAGAACUCCAAGUAGAUCCUACGGGAACCCCCACUCAAGCUCUCUUGUGGCUUAUUAGUCGUUAGGUGUGGGAAAUGAUUGUAUUCAGCCGAGACAUCUGAUCCUUUUGCAGGAAACUUCAUGCAUCUAGAAAACAGAGAAGAUAUUGGAAAUAUGCCCAUCCACUCUUCUUGAUGAGACUGCUUGACAGCAUCAAAGGAUAAUUCUGUAUUAAUG
rnacentral:misc_RNA from 1 species